AACGAACGCUGGCGGCAUGCCUAACACAUGCAAGUCGAACGAUACCUCCGGGCCUAGUGGCGCACGGGUGCGUAACGCGUGGGAACCUGCCCUUAGAACCGGAAUAACUCCCCGAAAGGGGUGCUAAUACCGGGUAAUGUUUUCGGACCAAAGCUUUUUCGGCUUUGGAUGGGCCCGCGUUGGAUUUCCUAUUUGGUAGGGUAAAAGCCCACCCAGGAGACUAUCCAUAGCUGGUCUGAGAAGAUGAUCAGCCACACUGGGACUGAGACACGGCCCAGACUCCUACGGGAGGGAGCGGUGGGGAAUAUUGGACAAUGGGCGAAAGCCUAAUCCAGCAAUGCCGCGUGAGUGAUGAAGGCCUUAGGGUAGUAAAGCUCUUUUACCCGGGAUGAUAGUGACAGUACCGGGAGAAUAAGCUCCGGCUAACUCCGUG
rnacentral:rRNA from 1 species